GGACGAACGCUGGCGGCGUGCCUAAUACAUGCAAGUCGAACGGUCUUUCUAUGGAAGCUUGCUUCCACUGAGAAGAUAGUGGCGAACGGGUGAGUAACACGUGGGUAACCUGCCCAUAAGAGGGGGAUAACAUCCGGAAACGGGUGCUAAUACCGCAUAGUUUUCUUGAUUGCAUGAUUGAGAAAGGAAAGACGGCCUUUGUGCUGUCGCUUAUGGAUGGACCCGCGGCGUAUUAGUUAGUUGGUGAGGUAACGGCUCACCAAGACGAUGAUACGUAGCCGACCUGAGAGGGUGAUCGGCCACAUUGGGACUGAGACACGGCCCAAACUCCUACGGGAGGCAGCAGUAGGGAAUCUUCCGCAAUGGACGAAAGUCUGACGGAGCAACGCCGCGUGAGUGAAGAAAGGUUUUCGGAUCGUAAAACUCUGUUGUCAGAGAAGAACAAGUUGGAGAGUAACUGCUCCAGCCUUGACGGUAUCUGACCAGAAAGCCACGGCUAACUACGUGCCAGCAGCCGC
rnacentral:rRNA from 1 species